UACGGGAGGCAGCAGUGGGGGAUAUUGGGCAAUGGGCGGAAGCCUGACCCAGCAACGCCGCGUGAAGGAAGAAGGUUUUCGGAUUGUAAACUUCUUUUAUGAGGGACGAAGGACGUGACGGUACCUCAUGAAUAAGCCACGGCUAACUACGUGCCAGCAGCCGCGGUAAU
rnacentral:rRNA from 1 species